GCGGGGAUGGCGGAACGGCAACGCGCACGCCUGGAAAGCGUGUGUUCGUGAGGACUUGCAGGUUCGAAUCCUGCUUCCCGCA
rfam:Archaeon CG2_30_31_98 isolate CG2_30_31_98 cg2_3.0_scaffold_4134_c, whole genome shotgun sequence.